rnacentral:rRNA from 1 species
CCUACGGGAGGCUGCAGUGAGGAAUAUUGGUCAAUGGACGAGAGUCUGAACCAGCCAAGUCGCGUGAAGGAUGACGGCCCUAUGGGUUGUAAACUUCUUUUAUAUGGGAGUAAAAUGUUCCACGUGUGGGUUUUUGUAUGUACCAUAUGAAUAAGGAUCGGCUAACUCCGUGCCAGCAGCCGCGGUAAUACGGAGGAUCCAAGCGUUAUCCGGAUUUAUUGGGUUUAAAGGGUGCGUAGGUGGUGUGUUAAGUCAGUUGUGAAAGUUUGCGGCUCAACCUUAAAAUUGCAGUUGAAACUGGGAGGCUUGAGUACAGUAGAGGUAGGCGGAAUUCGUGGUGUAGCGGUGAAAUGCUUAGAUAUCACGAAGAACUCCGAUUGCGAAGGCAGCUUACCGGACUGCAACUGACAUUGAGGCACGAAAGUGUGGGUAUCAAACAGGAUUAGAUACCCCUGUAGUC